rnacentral:sRNA from 1 species
GCCGGGCAUGGUGGCGCAUGCCUAUAAUCCCAGCAGCUCGGGAAGCUGAGGCAGGAGGACAUGAGUUCAAAGCCAGCCUCAG